UACGUAGGGGGCAAGCGUUGUCCGGAAUCAUUGGGCGUAAAGCGCGUGUAGGCGGCUCGGUAAGUCUGCUGAUGAAAGUCCAGGGCUCAACCCUCGAAUGCCGGUGGACUUACUGUCGGGCUAGAGUGCGGAAGAGGCGAGUGGAAUUCCUGGUGUAGCGGUGAAAUGCGCAGAUAUCAAGGAGGAACACCUAUUGCGAAGGCAGCUCCG
rnacentral:rRNA from 1 species